rnacentral:lncRNA from 1 species
AGUGUCUCGGGCUCAGGCUGAAAGAGACUGGCAGCUUUCACUUCCUGUCUUUUGAAAGUCUCUUGAACUUCGGACCUGGGGGAAGCCAGCUGCCGAGUGAGAAGUCUGACUAUCCGGAGAUGGCGGUGAGUAUAGAGAAUUUCUGCUAGGUCUCCUGUGUUUCAGCCAUCCCAGCCCAGGCACCACGACACAUUAUCAAAGGACUAUCUUGGACCUUCUCAUCCCAGCAAACAUCCAAUGGAGAAGAAUGAAGACUCCAGGCAUAUGAUCCCACUCUAGCCAUCCCAGGAGCCCCCAGCUAUCCAAACAACUACAGCUGUGGCCAAAAACAUCGUGUAUCAGGGACAAACUCUCUGCUUAUGGCUGCUCUAAUCCUUGACCUACAGAAUCAUGAAAUUUGUGGAUACGGUCAUGAUCUUGAUUUUGGCGAUGGUUUCACAGUAACUCAUGCUUUCAAAAUAUCAGGAAGCAAAUGAGAAAAGGAAAAAAAGACAUUCAUUGUAUAUGGUAAGCCAAGUAAUGAACUAGCUAGAUAGUACCUCAGACACUGGAGGAAAAUGGCAUUGUUAACAUAAUUGUUUUUCCAGUUAAUAAUUAAUAUUGUAUAAUCUGACCUUAAUCUAUAGGCUUCUUUUUCAUUAUAAUCUCACCAGAAGUCCUUAAUUCUAUUCAAAUGUUACCUAUUUUAGAUGAUCUAUUGCCUCAUCCAAUGGCUCCCAGUUUCUCAAAUACACUAAAAUAAAUAGCUCUAGUUGGUGAUUUACUUAGAAAGAAAUGUUACCCCGUGGUCACUUAAAUCUAACAUCCUCAAAAAUUCUUUUUUUAUAUAAAGCUGUGAAGUAAUCCUGCCAAAGGACACUUUGGGCUCCGCAGUGAGUAUAUUUUUUCCUUAAAAAUUGCCAAUUUCUUGAUCUAUAUUCUAUGAUAAAAGUUUUAAUAUUUUGCUAAGUUAAUUAGUAUUGCCUAUUGACCAACAUGUUCUAUUUAGUGUACUGCUUCACCAAGUGCCAACAUAUACGUCUCCAGUGACUGCUGAUGGCUGAGUCUCCUUAUGUUAGUAAAUUUCUAAACAUUUUUCUUAGUACAUGGAGUAACGUGUUAUGUUGAUCAAUGUUUGAUGACACUUAAAUGUAACUACAAUGCAGUAAUUCGAAGGUAAGAAAAAGUUGCCAUGACUCUCAUUUCUUUGAAAUUGUGUACAAUGAAAGGCUUCUCAGCAUGAUACCCCAACUAAAAUUUAGGCGUAUGACAGCACUUAUAAGUAAAUCCAUUUUAUUUGAGUAAAUAUUGAGUUUCAUUUACCUUUUAGCAAAUUCCGAAGUAGCAUCUCCAUAAAUUUAAACUGAUUUUACUUAUUGAGUCCUAUUACUAACUUUAAAAGACAAUCUACUUUGGAUCAUUUUGAGCAUCACAUAUUGCUUACGUAAAAUAAGUUUAAAUCUGAGUCAAUAAUGAUACUAAGCAAACAAAUAAAAUCAUUGGUCACUGUAUUAAGUCUGUUUUCAUGCUGUUGAUAAAGACAUACCCAUGACUGGGCAAUUUACAAAAGAAAUGUUUAAUUGGACUUACAGUUCCACGUGUGGCUGGGGAAGCCUCACAAUCAUGGUGGAAGGCGAAAGGCACAUCUCACAUGAUAGCAGACAAGGGAAAAGAGCUUGUGCUGGGGAACUCCUUUUUUAAAACCAUCAGAUCUCGUGACACUUAUCUACUAUCAGCACGGGAAAGACCUUCCCCCAUGAUUCAAUUACCUUCCACCAGUCCCUCACAUAAUAUAUGAGAAUUCAAGAUGAGAUUUGGGUGGGGACACAGCAAAACCAUAUCAGUCACCUUUGGAGAAUACUAGAGAAUUAACUAACUAUUCUGAAAAUCAGUAAUUAAAGGGAAAGAAGCAAACAUUUUUUCUGUCUUUCCAUAAAAAAUUGUACUUUGAACAACCAAAUGGGUGAUAAUGAAAGAAAGUUCCUCUUUAUAAAAGUAACUGAAGAGGCCAGGCGUGGUGGCUCAUGCCUGUAAUCCCAGCACUUUGGGAGGCCGUGAUGGGCAGAUCACUUGAGCCCAGAAGUUUGAGACCAGCCUGUGCAACAUAUCUAGACCCUGUCUUUAAAAAGAAAGAAAAAAUUUAAAACAGUAACUGAGCAUCAGCUAUUGUGGGCACACUGCCUAUGGGUAGCCCUGCUCCACAAGGAGCAGUUAAAAAAAAAAGUAACUCAGUAGAUAAAUGAGAAAGGAAUGAUAAUUACAAUAACAAGAUGUGGCAAUCCUGAUUUAAUUAAUGAAUCUAAGCAAAAAGCAAUGGCUUUGAAUAGAACACAGAAAAGAAACAACUAAAUAUUAUGUGCCUCCUGGUUGAAAUAUACACAAUUAUCUAUGAUUUCAUCUUUUGAACCUGAAUCUGAUCAAGCCUCUAGAUCUAUUCAUCAAUUUAUAUAAAACACAAGAGACACAGAAAAGACAAAGGAAUGUACUAAACUACAGCAUGAGGUACAAUCAAGCAAAAUUCAUACCAUGGAAACUAUAGAACAAACAAUUUAGUUUCUUGCAGAAAUAAAUUGCAAGGGAAAAAUAAAGACAUGGUUAAAGACACUUCGGAGAUAUGCUUACCAGAUGCAAUUUAUGGAUGUGUAUUAGCGUUCUCCAGAGAAACAGAACCAAGAGGAUAUAUAUGGGUAUAUAAGAGGGAAUUUGUUAUGGAAGCCAGCUCACAUGAUUAUGGAGGGUGAGAAGUUCCACAACAUCCCAUCUGCAAGCUGUACAACCAAGGAAGCCAAUGUUGUAAUUCAGUCUGAGUCCGAAGGCCAGAGAAACUGGGGCCAUUGGUGUAAUCUUGGAGUCUGAAAGCUCAAUGAAGUCAGGAGAAGAUGGAUGUCCCAGCCCCAAGAGGGAGAGAAUUUGCCCUUCUCUUUUUAUUCUAUUGGAACCCUUAACAGAUUGGAUGAUGCCUGUCCAUAUUGAUGAGGGUGGUUCUUCUGUACUCAGUUUACUGCUUCAAAUGCUAGUCUCUUCUGAAAAUUCUCUCACAGACCCACCCAGAAAUGUUUUACCAGCUAUCUGGCUAUCCCUUAACCCAGUCAAGUUGACACAUAAAAUUAACCAUCACAGAAUGUUAUUUGGAUUCAGAUUUUAAUCAACAAAGUGUGAAAAAGUAAUAAGAUUAUUGGAGAAAUUUGUGUGUUGGCUGGAUAUUUAAUGAUGACAAGAAAGUUUUCAUUUUUGCAGGUGUGCUAAUGGUAUUGUGGGUUUUGUUGAGUCUUUAUCUUCUAAAAAUACUUCCUAAAAUAGUUACAGAAGAAAAGAUUUAUAAUCUGAAAUUUGCUUCCAAAUUAUCCAAGAGUCUGGUGUUGGGGUUGGGGACUGAGUGGAAGUACAGACAAGGCAAUCUUGGCCAUGGGUUCAUGCCCAAAUUUCUUAUUCUUAUUAUAAGGACACCAAUCAGAUUAGAUCAUGGACCACUCUAAUGGCCUGAUUUUAACUUAAUCACCUUUAAAGUUCUCUUUCCAAAUACAGUCACAUUCUGAGGUACUGGGGGUUAAGGCAUUAGUGGGAAUUUGCAGGGACAUAAUUCAGUUCAUAACAAGUCCAUUCAGAAUCUUGCUCUGUUUAUUUGUGAUAUCAAUGCCAUAUAAACUGCUUAAAAUGGUUACCUUCAAUAUUGGCUCAAAAGCUAAACUUUGUAAGCUCCUGGCAUUAAUCACCAUGCUAUACUUUGCAAAGUCCACAGCCAAACAAUCCUAACCACUCCUUCACUUUCAGACUAAUUCUAUAGUUCUAUUUUCUCCAAUAUGGUAGUCACACAUGAACUAGUAAACACUUGAAAUGUGGCUGAUCCAAACUGAGAUGUGUUGUAAGUAUACAUUACACUGGAUUUCAAAGACUUAGCAAGAAAAAAAGAAAGAUAUCUCGUUACUAGUUUUUGUAUUGAUUACAUGUUGAAAUGAUAGUUUGGAUAUACUAAAUUAGAUUAUUAAAGUUAAUUUCAGCUGUUCCUUCUUCCUUAAAAAAUAUGGCUAGUAAAUAACUUUAAAAUUAUGUGCUCACUUUAUAUUUCUAUUGGAUGGCACUUUUCAAAAGUACAGGUACCUGUCAUUUGACCUAAGAUUCGCUUCAAAGACUUUCUUUGACUUCCAAUUUAUAACUCUCCCCAAUAAUCCCUUUCCUUUUUGCACCACACAUUUAAUAACCUAGGUGCAGAAUUCUAGCGCUAUAUGCAGUCCUUAAUUCACAUUUCAAACCUGAAGAACAUGUGCCUACUUCUCAGGCAGACAACAUGUAAUGCUAACUGAAAAAAUGUCACUGAAAUUUGUUAUAUUUAUUGAAAUCCUAAGUGAUGGAUAGUUCUGUUGCCUUUUACCAUUUCCAAGGAAAAAGAGAAGCUAUAAUAAUAGCAAUUGACAAAGAUACUCUCAUUUUUCCUUUACCAGUGGUACUAGAUAUUCUCAGGCUGCCGCAGUGGCUUACACCUGUAAUCUCAACACUUUGGGAGGCCAGUGUGGGAGGAUCACUUGAGUCCAGGAGUUCAAGACCCCAUCUCUACAAAAAAAUAAAAAAAAUUGGCUGGGUAUGGUGGUACACGCCUGUAAUCGCAGCUACUUUGGAGGCUGAGGUGGGAGGAUCACUUGAGUCUCAGAGGUCGAGGCAGCAGUGAGCCAUGAUUGCACCACUGCACUCCGGCCUGGGCGAUAGAGUGAGACUCUAUUUCAAAAAUAAAUAAAUAAAUAAUGUAAAAAAGAUACUCUCAUAUUUCAUUUAUAAACAACACUAGAAAAAGUCUUAUGCCCCAAUUUUACCAAAACACUAGAACUGGGCUUAAUACAGAUUUCUAGAAAUUUUUGCAAUACUUACAUAUUUGCAGCUGCUAAAUUUUGUGACAAAGAUAAAUACUUCAUUUUGCUUAAAAGUUGAUGCUGAGAGGAGGAAUUGUAGUUAGGAGUAUUUCAGCAUCAGUAAUUUUUUACUUUUUCAGGAACAUAAAAUAUGAUUAACAUCCACUGCUUGUAUUUCUUGGCAGGCUCAGUUGUAUCUUACCCAGAUUUUCAUUUUAGUACAAUUAAUCCAUACAGGUUUAAUUAGGUAGAUUUAAAUGCUUAUCAAAUGAGUAUACUUAUUUGGCAGCACAACAGUGGCUCGAAACCUACAGGAUUAAAAACUUUGCAUUUUGGCUUAUCAUCUAUAUCCCUGAAUGAUAGUUUCCACAAUC